rnacentral:rRNA from 1 species
GAGUUUGAUCCUGGCUCAGAUUGAACGCUGGCGGCAUGCCUUACACAUGCAAGUCGAACGGCAGCACGGGAGCAAUCCUGGUGGCGAGUGGCGAACGGGUGAGUAAUAUAUCGGAACGUGCCCAGUCGUGGGGGAUAACGCAGCGAAAGCUGUGCUAAUACCGCAUACGAUCUCUGGAUGAAAGCGGGGGACCUGCAAGGGCCUCGCGCGAUUGGAGCGGCCGAUAUCAGAUUAGCUAGUUGGUGGGAUAAAAGCUCACCAAGGCGACGAUCUGUAGCUGGUCUGAGAGGACGACCAGCCACACUGGAACUGAGACACGGUCCAGACUCCUACGGGAGGCAGCAGUGGGGAAUUUUGGACAAUGGGCGCAAGCCUGAUCCAGCAAUGCCGCGUGCAGGAUGAAGGCCUUCGGGUUGUAAACUGCUUUUGUACGGAACGAAACGGCUCUUUUUAAUAAAGAGGGCUAAUGACGGUACCGUAAGAAUAAGCACCGGCUAACUACGUGCCAGCAGCCGCGGUAAUACGUAGGGUGCGAGCGUUAAUCGGAAUUACUGGGCGUAAAGCGUGCGCAGGCGGUUUUGUAAGACAGAUGUGAAAUCCCCGG